UUUUUUUUUUUUUGUUAUGAAAUAUAUAUUAAAACUAUGAAAUAACAAUGAUUGAAGAUUUAAAAUUAGGGUCUAUUAUUUGGCCUAAUUUUGCAUCACCAUUUAGUAUAUCAUGUUAUGUACUUAAUGAAGUUCGAACUAUCUUAGCUAUAGGUUGUUAUGAGGGGAGUAUAGUGUUGUUCAAAGUUUAUGAGCAUGAAAAUUAUCAUAUGGACAUGAAAAAUGACAACACAAAUGUGUUAAGUAGAAACGAUAGAAAUGGUUUCAUCAAAAAAGAAACAGAUGUGUAUGAUAUAAAAAUUAAAGAUGCAGAAAAAAAUAGAAAAUUGUUUAAUGGAAAUAUAAGUGAUAUGUAUUACAACAAUAACAAAGAUAAUGAUAAUGGCUAUAGUAAAGAUGAUAAUUUAAAGUGUAAAAAUUGUAAUAGUAGUAAUAGUAGUAGUAAUAGUAGUAGUAAUAGUAGUAGUAAUAGUAAUAGUAACAGUAAUAGUAAUAGUAGUAGUAGUAGUAGUAGUAGUAGUAGUAAUAGUAAUGGUAAUAACAAAAUAAACUUACUACCAUAUAGUAUUUUAUUAAAUAAUUAUAACAACACUUGUAAUAACAGCAUUGUACAAUUGUGUUUUGGCUUAUCAUGCUCUCCUAUUAUUGAAUGUAUUUCAAAAGAAAUAUUAAUUUCAUUACACCUUGAUAACAUGUUAUAUUUUUGGUCAUUAGAUGAAGGAAGAUGUUUUAAAAUUUUAAAAAAUUUUGAUUUUUUUAUUUAUCAUUUACGAAUAUUACCUGAUAGACGUUUUUUGUUACUAUGCGGACUUACGAAGGUGGUAGUUAUAGAUAUAUGGGGUACCACUGAAAAAGAAAUAAUUUGUAUUUUGUCUAUCGACAAUUAUAUACAUAAGAAAAAUAAUAAUGUAAAAGAAGAUAAUAAAAAUGAAAGUGAUGAAAAAAAUGAGAAUGAAGAAAACACUAAUGAAUGUCAUUACAUUGGUGAUAGUGAUAAUGAACACCAUUCUUCGUGUGUAACAAGUGAUAGUUACAGCAUCAGUAGUAGCAACAGUAGUAGUAGUAGUAGUAGUAGUAGUAACAGCAGUAGUAGUAGUAGUAGUAGUAGUAGUAACAUAAGUAGCAGUAGUAAUAAUGCAAGAUGUGCUAUAGUUAAUAAUAUUCAGAAUGAAUCAGACAAAGUGGAUGCUGAGAAAGCUCUAAAUAUGACACGUAACGAUAAAUGUAAUAAUGAUUCACCUAAUCCAUUAAAAAAAUAUAUUAACAAAGUGAAAAGUAGUUAUGAACAUAUAAAUAAAAAUUACAUGACAAAUAGUAUUAGCAGUAGCUCUAAAAGAGAUGUUAAUAAUAAAUCAAGAACUACAAAAACUUACGAGAAACGUAAUGAAAAGAGUAAUUUAAAUGACUAUAAUAAUAUAAAAACAAAUAAAAAAAUAAAAGUAGAAAACCAUAGUAACUAUAGUAAAGAUAACAUAAAAAUAUGUUGCAUCGCCACAGGACUCGUACCAUAUUUAAAAGAGCAUAAUGAGCAGUCAUUAGUACAAUGUAUAAAGAUAUUAAAAAGAAAAUUGUUUAAUAUAUAUGAAAAAAAAGAAAAUAAUAACAAUACUAACGAUGGUACAAAUUUUGUUAAAUAUAAUAAUAGUGAAGAAAGUGUAUAUACAAAUAAUAUAACAAGUACUACUUCUGUUUGUCCUGGUCCUUCUUCUAACACUAAUAAUACUACUACUACUGCUAUUUCUACCAAAAUGGAACAUAGCGAUAAAUGCAUAAAAACAAAAAAAUCUGAAGUUAUGAAACAAUUAAUUGAUUUUUUUUAUUGCCCGAUAUUAGUAUCUGCUUCUUUGAAUAAUGGGGAUAUUGUUUGCUGGGAUUUAACUGAAUUAUUAAACCAUUAUAAAAAUACUUGCAGAUUUGUAAUAAGAACAGAUAAAACAGAAAUGGAAAUAUACAACGACAUAGUUGAUGAGGUAGCUGAAAAUUGUAUUUAUAAUGAUUUACAUAAGAGCCAAAUGAAUUUAAAUUUUAAUGAUAGUAGUAAAAAUAAACAUUCUGAUAGAACACAGAGUGAUAAAUAUUUAUACAAACAAAUAAAAAACGGAUUAUAUGUUGUGGAUCCAAUAUAUAUAUCUAAUUUAUUACCAUCUACCAAUAUGAUUGAAAUAGCAACAAAUGGAAAUUCAAGUCAAAUAGCUAUUAUAGAUAGUUACAUAAUUAUAUUACAAAAAACAAGGUUAAUUAUAUAUGAAAAAAAAAUAUCAUCUUCUUUUUUUAACCCUUUAAUGGAUUUAUUCUGUCCAGACUUUCAAGAAACAAAUAAAACGAAUGGGAAAAAAUCUUAUUGGGUAGGUAUACAAGUGAUAAGGCGUAAAAAGUGGAAGUUCUUAUCAGGUACGGAAGAAAAUUUACAAAAAA
rnacentral:lncRNA from 1 species